rnacentral:rRNA from 1 species
UACGUAGGGUGCAAGCGUUGUCCGGAAUUAUUGGGCGUAAAGAGCUCGUAGGCGGUCUGUCGCGUCGGCUGUGAAAACUCGGGGCUCAACCCCGAGCCUGCAGUUGAUACGGGCAGACUAGAGUCCGGCAGGGGAGACUGGAAUUCCUGGUGUAGCGGUGAAAUGCGCAGAUAUCAGGAGGAACACCGGUGGCGAAGGCGGGUCUCUGGGCCGGAACUGACGCUGAGGAGCGAAAGCGUGGGGAGCGAACGGG